UAUUCGUAAAGGUUGGGUAAAACUGGCUUUGAAAAAUAAAGGAUCACAAUAAGUAAUAAAGUGGGGUUCCAGUUCAUUUACUUUGAGUAAAUUAGAGUGUUCAAAGCAGCCUUUUAGGGGUAUUGAAUAGAUUAGCAUGGGAUAAUAGAAUAGGACUUUUGUUUAUUUUCUAAUUGGUUAUUAAACAGAAGUAAUGAUUAAUAGGGAUAGUUGGGGGCACUUGUAUUCAAUAGUCAGAGGUGAAAUUCUAGGAUUUAUUGAAGACAAACUUCAGCGAAAGCAUUUGCCAAGGAUGUUUUCAUUAAUCAAGAACGAAAGUUAGGGGAUCGAAGACGAUUAGACACCGUCGUAGUCUUAACUAUAAACUAUGCCGACCAGGGAUAUGAGAGAAACUCUAUAACAAUCAGGUAACUCUGAUUGUUCUCUUGUGCACCUUGUGAGAAAUCAUAAGUGUUUGGGUUCUGGGGGGAGUAUGGUCGCAAGGCUGAAACUUAAAGGAAUUGACGGAGGGGCACCACCAGGAGUGGAGCCUGCGGCUUAAUUUGACUCAACACGGGAAAACUUACCAGGUCCAGACAUUAGAAGGAUUGACAGGUUGAUAGCCCUUUCUUGAUUUGAUGAAUGGUGGUGCAUGGCCGUUCUUAGUUGGUGGAGUGAUUUGUCUGGUUAAUUCCGAUAACGAACGAGACCUCUGCUAAAAAAUAGGGAAUAUUAAUCUUUUGGUUAGUAUGUGAUCCCUUCUUUUUGGGACUUUUGG
rnacentral:rRNA from 1 species